AUUAAAGUUGCUGCGGUUAAAAGCUCGUAGUUGGAUUACGAAGUGGUGUUUAAAUGUCAUUUUGGUUUGUUUGUCUUUCGGGGCAUUCAGGUCAACUUGGCUUUUACUCACUGUUGUCAUUGUCUUUGCCCAAGGUAUAUGCCUUGUGUGCAUGGCAUUGACCUUCUAUUUUAUGGUAAUGUUGUAUCUUUCGGGGUACAUUCAUUCCAUAUAGUUUACUUUGAAAAAAUUAGGGUGUUUAAAGCAGGCGAAAAGGCUUCGGAAUAUAUUAGCAUGGGAUAAUAGAAUACGAUCUAGGUCGUAAUUUGUUGGUUUCUACGGCUUAGGUAAUGAUUGACAGGGAUAGUUGGGGUCGCUCGUAUUGAGUUGUCAGAGGUGAAAUUCUAGGAUUAACUCAAGACGAACUAAUGCGAAAGCAUUCGGCAAGGAUGUUUUCAUUAAUCAAGAACGAAAGUUGGGGGAUCGAAGAUGAUCAGAUACCGUCGUAGUCUCAACUGUAAACUAUGUCGACCGAGGAUCCGGUAGCGUUACAUGGAUGACCUUCCGGGCACUCUGUGAGAAAUCAUAAGUAUUUGGAUUUCGGGGGGAGUAUGGUCGCAAGGCUGAAACUUAAAGGGAUUGACGGAAGGGCACCACCAGGAGUGGAAUCUGCGGCUUAAUUUGACCCAACACGGGAAAACUUACCAGGUCCGGACACAGUGAGGAUUGACAGAUUGAGAGCUCUUUCUUGAUUUUGUGGGUGGUGGUGCAUGGCCGUUUUUAGUUGGUGGAGUGAUUUGUCUGGUUAAUUCCGUUAACGAACGAGACCUUAACCUAUUAAAUAGCUGCGCGAACCCAGGUUCUUUAACCAUUCUCUCCUUCGGGGGGGCGUGGUAUCAUUAUUUUGCUUUUCACUUUCGGGUGGGAGGUAGGGUAGUGAUAGGGCCUGAGAUGAGUUGGUGAUUUGGCUUCUUAGAGGGACUACUUGCAUCCUUAGCAAGGGGAGGUUUGAGGCAAAAACAGGUCUGUGAUGCCCUUCGAUGUUCUGGGCUGCACGCGCGUUACACUGGCGCAUGCAAAGAGUUUAAAAUUCCUGUCCCGAUGGGGUUGGGAAAUCUUUUUAAAGUGCGUCGUGAUGGGGAUAGAGCAUUGAAAUUAUUGCUCUUGAACGAGGAAUUCCUAGUAAUUGCAGGUCAUCAACCUGCAAUGAUUACGUCCCUGCCCUUUGUACACACCGCCCGUCGCUCCUACCGAUGGUUGAACCGAUGAGGACUCGGGAUGAUCUUAUUAGAUCGGUCGGUCGAAAGAUCGAUAGACUAUUAGGUCAGAACUUGUUCAAAUCUUUUUAA
rnacentral:rRNA from 1 species